rnacentral:rRNA from 1 species
AUAACUGUUGGAAACGAUAGCUAAGACCGCAUAGGUGUGAUAACCGCAUGGAGAUGACAUGAAAUAUGCUACGGCAUAGGUAGAGGAUGGACUUAUGGCGCAUUAGCUAGUUGGAGGGGUAACGGCCCACCAAGGCGACGAUGCGUAGCCGACCUGAGAGGGUGACCGGCCACACUGGGACUGAGACACGGCCCAGACUCCUACGGGAGGCAGCAGUAGGGAAUUUUCGGCAAUGGGGGAAACCCUGACCGAGCAACGCCGCGUGAAGGAAGAAGUAAUUCGUUAUGUAAACUUCUGUCAUAGAGGAAGAACGGUGCGUGUAGGGAAUGACAUGCAAGUGACGGUACUCUAUAAGAAAGCCACGGCUAACUACGUGCCAGCAGCCGCGGUAAUACGUAGGUGGCGAGCGUUAUCCGGAAUUAUUGGGCGUAAAGAGGGAGCAGGCGGCACUAAGGGUCUGUGGUGAAAGAUCGAAGCUUAACUUCGGUAAGCCAUGGAAACCGUAGAGCUAGAGUGUGCGAGAGGAUCGUGGAAUUCCAUGUGUAGCGGUGAAAUGCGUAGAUAUAUGGAGGAACACCAGUGGCGAAGGCGACGAUCUGGCGCAUAACUGACGCUCAGUCCCGAAAGCGUGGGGAGCAAAUAGGAUUAGAUACCCUAGUAGUCCACGCCGUAAACGAUGAGUACUAAGUGUUGGGAGUCAAAUCUCAGUGCUG